GAUCUGGCUCAGGACGAACGCUGGCGGCGCGCCUAACACAUGCAAGUCGAACGAGCGGAGAGAGAGCUUGCUUUCUCGAGCGAGUGGCGAACGGGUGAGUAACGCGUGAGGAACCUGCCUCAAAGAGGGGGACAACAGUUGGAAACGACUGCUAAUACCGCAUAAGCCCACGGGUCGGCAUCGACCAGAGGGAAAAGGAGCAAUCCGCUUUGAGAUGGCCUCGCGUCCGAUUAGCUAGUUGG
rnacentral:rRNA from 1 species